GGCCUUAUGAGGAUGAUUGGGCUGUAACGUCUGUCACCCCAUUAAUCACCAUGGUUCAUUUGUCUGAUCUGACUGGCUAGGCAAGUGUUCCCUUCCUCCCUCACUGCUCCACGUGAUUCCCAAAGCUGCAUGCUCAGUGGAAGAGGAUGACCUUCCCCUAUAGAGGAGGACCCAUCUUUUGUCAAGGGAAUAUAAGUAGCUGUGCUCCCCUGAGAGAAUCUCCGAACUCUCAAAGCGAAAUUUUUUAAAGGUGAUUUGAUGAAGAGAAAACACACUGAGCCAAACCUUUU
rnacentral:snRNA from 1 species